rnacentral:lncRNA from 1 species
UUUCUAGGCAAAUGCAAUAGGCCGGAGUGCUAAAACUGUUCGGGAAUUUCUAGAAAAAAAUUACACAGAAGAUGCAAUUUCAAAUGACAACGAAGCUAUCAAACUAGCAAUAAAAGCUUUGCUUGAAGUUGUGCAGUCUGGCGGAAAGAACAUUGAACUGGCUAUCAUAAGAAGAGACCAACCUUUGAAGAUGUUUAGUGCCAAAGAAAUUGAAUUGGAGGUAACUGAAAUAGAAAGGGAAAAGGACGAAGCAGAAAAGAAAAAGUCAAAGAAGUCAACCUGAUGUCCAGGAUCACUGGAAGUUCACGCUCUCUUCUGAUUAGAGUUUCUUCCUGAGCUUUUAGAAGAAAUCGGUGAGUUGGAACCAACCACCGAGUUUUUCUACGUUCAUCGUCAAGAAUGUCAGUUGUUUUCAAGCAUAGGUUAAUGGAAAGAUUUUCUUUAAAGUUCCUCAAUUCCACAUAAGUCUGAUACUAUAUUGUGAAACUUGCAUAGUAUUGUUGUUUUUCUUCAUAGAAACCUUUUUCUAGGGAAAAAGAUGAUUUUUAAAGUUAGUGAUUUUUUUGAAGUUUGCCUCUUCUCUGUUAGUUAAGGAGCUAGUCCUCUCAAAAUAAACUGAACCCUGACUUGCAUUUCUUUUUUUUUUUUUUUCUUUUUUUUUUUUUUUUUGGAGCUGGGGACCGAACCCAGGGCCUUGCGCUUGCUAGGCAAGCGCUCUACCACUGAGCUAAAUCCCCAACCCCACCUGACUUGCAUUUCUUGAUGAAUGGUAAGAAGAUCAGUGUGUUCGUGAGGUGUCAACAAUUUGAUAAAAUCUACAUGUGCUGACUCUAGAGGCUGAGGCAGAAGAAUUGUAAGUUAGGCAGUGUGAUCAAUGCUAAAAUUGUAGGGACAAGAAUAAGCUCAGCUUAUUGGUUUUUCUUUUGUAAGAUAGGAUCUCACGAAGCCAAUACUGGCUUCAAACACCCUUUGUAGCCAGAGGAUGACCUUGAACUCCUGAUCCUUUUAUUUCCACAUCUCAAUGGAUCACGUGUGUCUCCCAUACCCAGCUAGACUUUGUUUUGUCCUUAUUACUAACAGUAGGAAGAUGGACAUUAGGUCACAAUAAUUUUCAUUAGGGAUUAAUGUUGUGAAAUUAAUGGUUGUGUCUGCCUUCUCUUCUAAUUGAGAGGCUCUAAUAGAGCUUUAAGACUGGGCUCCAGAUCAUACUUAUCCUUGUUCUGACAGCUUGCCUGUGGUGUGACUUAAUAAAUGCUUGUAAAGUUAACU